UGGUGAUAAAUGAGUGCCCCAUGGCAGUUCUUCCCCUGGAGGGAGGGCAUGGAGGGGCCUGGGGGUGGCUCUGGUGCUCCAGGCUGGGUGCCCCUGUACUCUGGGGCUGCAGGGUGCUCAGCCCAUGCUUUUAGGGAAAAGCCCACCUGCUGCAAGGGCACUGCACACAGCUCACCAGCACACGCUCCUCCUCAUGCUGGGGGGAAAGCAAGGCUUGAUUUCCCCUAGAAGUACUUAAUUCUAAUUAAAUGCUUCAGGUUUAAUAGGUGGUUGCUCAGCCCAGCUUACUGCCUGGCAAGGCAGGGCACCCGAGCUGGGAACCGGCACAGAGCAGCCCAGAGAUGCUGUGACACAACAUCUUUGAGCACGCUGAAAUGGAUGCAAGGAGACGGUGCCGCGCUGCUCGGCUUCUAACAAGCAGGAGAAUUCGGUGUUUUCGUAACCUGGAAUCACAUUGUGCAUCACCGUGAUGCUCCCACAUGGAGGUGGCACAGCGGGAGCGUGCUCAGCUCAGCCGUCACCAAGCCCCGUGUGCGGCAGCACCGUGGGGACGGACGUUGGCCCACCCCAUAGCGCCGGAUCCUGGGGGAUGCUCAGCGUGUGGGGCGAGGAACCCAGUGGGGAUGGCAGCGGCGCAACGCGGGCACCCACCCCACGACCCAUACCACCACCACCUCUGGGGACUGUGCUCAGAUGUGAGAGCAGCCACUGCUCCUGAGCAACACCACCCUGCUUUGGUUCAUGCUGCGGGGCAGGAGCGAUGCCCACGGCUUCCUCCUAACGUGGAGCCCCAGUGGGGCCUCUGCCCACGCUGCAGCACCGCUUCACUCCUCCUCAGCAAACCUGUAAGGGGGUUCCCUGCAGGACCACCCGCAGGACCUGGUUGUGCGCGCACAGAGGGCACAGCGGGACCGACGGACGGAGCAGAGCAGGACUGACGGACACGGCACCAGUGCGAGGUGAGGUGAGCGCCAGCAUUCCGCGGG